UGCAUAUAAGGUAACUCCAAAGGUGGUGAUGAGAUUGGACUCUACUUGCACCUUUUAAGGAGAUGGCGUUGGACCCAAGUUAUGGUAAUUACCAUAUACUAGGAGUCCUAAUCCGACUGGGAGAAGGAUUCUAAGGUGGUGAGUACUAUAAAUAUGAGGCCUAGGUUAUCAUUAUGAGGUAAUACCUAUUUUGAGCACUAAAUACUUAUCCUCCAUUGUUAAACCUUGUAACGGCCUGUACUCAUUCUCACACCGGAGCUAUCCCCCGGCGGCAUAAGCCGUCAAGCUUCUGUGUGAUCCGUUACUGUGCAGGUUCUAGCGCGUGGAUUCUGUGAUUGGACG
rnacentral:lncRNA from 1 species